GAAAAUCACGUUAAUUCCUCGAUUCCUGAGACUUCACAAGACACAGAACCCCGAUGACAGCCCGAAGUGGAAACAGCCCUAGGUCUCCGGACUCUAGGGUUUGGAAGACCGAGGGAAGAGGAUGGCCUUGAGAUGGAAGCCAGCUGGGACUGUAUAGUGAGUUCCAAGCCAGCCUGGGGUACAUGUCUCAGAAAGCAGAUACUACAACACCCAAGAAUAAACAGUAGCCUAUGCGUGUAACUGUAAUCUGUUUUAAUCAAUGUCUCUUGAACACUAGCAAAAAUAGAAGACUUGUC
rnacentral:lncRNA from 1 species